rnacentral:rRNA from 1 species
AUACGGAGGGUGCAAGCGUUAUUCGGAAUCACUGGGCGUAAAGGACGCGUAGGCGGGUUGGCAAGUCAGAUGUGAAAUCCUACAGCUUAACUGUAGAACUGCAUUUGAAACUGCUAACCUAGAGUAUGGGAGGGGGCGAUGGAAUUAGUGGUGUAGGGGUAAAAUCCGUAGAUAUCACUAGGAAUACCGAAAGCGAAGGCGAUCUCCUGGAACAUAACUGACGCUAAGGCGUGAAAGCGUGGGGAGCAAACAGGAUUAGAAACCCUAGUAGUCC